GGGCGGGUCGGACGCUCCGCACACAGCUCGAUACCCUGCGCUGAGACUCUCGACCACUGAAGCGACCGAUGGGGCACCUGUAGAAGCGAUAGCCCACAGCGUCCUCUGCGGAGAGACAAACGCGGAGAAAAGCCUCGUCUACUGAGCCUAGAGUACCCAGAAAAGCAAGCCCUCGCCAAUCACCCCAAAAGGACAGCAUAACAGAUACUCUAAAGGACAGUCGGCCACCACCCAAAACACAGAACAGUGAAUCUCCCAUCUGGAGGCUCCAGAGGUGACUGCUUUGGACCUUCGUUUCCUUAGUAUAGAAGGGCCGCAGAGGAAUUGAAUUUAUAUCCUACAAAGGCACUUACUCAAGGUACAGAUUUCUAGGCCCCAUUCCAGACCCACUGGAUUGGGAUUGGGCUAGGACCCGGGAUUCUGUCCUUUUAAUGUACGUCCCAGGUUGUCCAUGUUGAUGAUCAGCCAGUUUUGGAAACCACUGGAUUAGAUGACAUUAAAAGGCCUUUCACCUUUUCCACUGUUUUUCUCCUAACUCUCUGGCAAUUUAUAGUCUCCGUGGGCUCCUCUGCUGGCCUCUUUAGUACUGGAAGCAACAGUACUCAAACCUGGGCUGUGCAUCUGAUGGAGUUUGGAUGUGUAGUCCCCUCCAAAACUCAUGUGGAAAUUUGAUCUCCAAUGUGGCAGUGUUGGAAACUGAUUGAGUCAUGGGGGUGGAUCCCUCAUGAAUGGAUUGAUGCUCUCCCUAGGGGAGGGAGGAUUAAUGAGUGAGUUCUCCCUCUAUUAGUUCCCACGAGAGCUCAUUGCUUUAAAAGACCCUGGCACCUUCUCUCUCUCUCUUGCUUCCUCUUGCCAUGUGAUCUGCUUGUACCCGCUGGCUGCCUGCCAUUUUCCGCCAUGAGUAGAAGCAGCCUGAGGCCCACGCCAGAUGCAGCUGUCCCAGAAUUGUAAGCCAAAUAAACCUCUCUUCUUUAUAAAUUA